rnacentral:rRNA from 1 species
GGCGUAAGGGCUCGCAGGCGGUUUCUUAAGUCUGAUGUGAAAGCCCCCGGCUCAACCGGGGAGGGUCAUUGGAAACUGGGAAACUUGAGUGCAGAAGAGGAGAGUGGAAUUCCACGUGUAGCGGUGAAAUGCGUAGAGAUGUGGAGGAACACCAGUGGCGAAGGCGACUCUCUGGUCUGUAACUGACGCUGAGGAGCGAAAGCGUGGGGAGCGAACAGGAUUAGAUACCCUGGUAGUCCACGCCGUAAACGAUGAGUGCUAAGUGUUAGGGGGUUUCCGCCCCUUAGUGCUGCAGCUAACGCAUUAAGCACUCCGCCUGGGGAGUACGGUCGCAAGACUGAAACUCAAAGGAAUUGACGGGGGCCCGCACAAGCGGUGGAGCAUGUGGUUUAAUUCGAAGCAACGCGAAGAACCUUACCAGGUCUUGACAUCCUCUGACAACCCUAGAGAUAGGGCUUUCCCUUCGGGGACAGAGUGACAGGUGGUGCAUGGUUGUCGUCAGCUCGUGUCGUGAGAUGUUGGGUUAAGUCCCGCAACGAGCGCAACCCUUGAUCUUAGUUGCCAGCAUUCAGUUGGGCACUCUAAGGUGACUGCCGGU